GAGGAGAGUCCGUUAAAUCCUUCAGUCCGUGGCAAAGCAUGAGCUAGGCUGGAACCGACCCCUUUAAAAUUAGACACUAGCUUGUGCCAGAGAUAAACACCGUGCUCUGUACCCACAGCGCUCCAGUUCUAACCAGCUGGUGACAAAGUCAAUGACUCAACAGGUCUGGGGAGUCCUGAGCCCUGGAGCCAGGCUGACCUAAUAUUCAAAGGCCUCACCAGCAAACAGAACUGGAGCAGCCCAGGCCUGGCCGAAGGGAGGGGGACUGACAUCAUGGAGGGGCCUCGAAAACUGUUGCAAACUUGGGACUUGGAGCUUCCCUCCAGCGCUGGGCUUUACACAAGCCGCUUCCUCUGCCCGGAACACGCCAACUCAUCCUUCCUGUCUGGACUGGAGCCGUACCACUUCCUCAAGGAGACUGCCCAGCUGCCCUAACUAGGCCAAACCUCUCUGGGUCACCAAGUACAUCAUGGCAGGACUCAGGGUUAAGAUGUGACAUAGACUCGGCAGUGAUUAGGUUCCUGUGUCUCACUGCUACGGUGAAUGAAUGUCCACUGUCACAGCCCUGCACAGUGCCUAGUGUAUAACACA